rnacentral:rRNA from 1 species
GUGCAGCAGGCGCGAAUACUCCGCAAUGCGGGCAACCGCGACGGGGCUACCCCGAGUGCCGGGCGAAGAGCCCGGCUUUUGCCCGGUCUAAAACGCCGGGCGAAUAAGCGGGGGGCAAGUCUGGUGUCAGCCGCCGCGGUAAUACCAGCUCCGCGAGUGGUCGGGGUGUUUAUUGGGCUUAAAGCGCCCGUAGCCGGCCCGGCAAGUCGCUCCUGAAAUCCCCGGGCUCAACCCGGGGGCGGGGGGCGAUACUGCCGGGCUAGGGGGCGGGAGAGGCCGCCGGUACUCCGGGGGUAGGGGCGAAAUCCGUUAAUCCCCGGAGGACCACCAGUGGCGAAAGCGGGCGGCCAGAACGCGCCCGACGGUGAGGGGCGAAAGCCGGGGGAGCAAAGGGGAUUAGAUACCCGGGUAGUCCCGGCUGUAAACGAUGCGGGCUAGGUGUUGGGUGGGCUUAGAGCCCACCCAGUGCCGCAGGGAAGCCGUUAAGCCCGCCGCCUGGGGAGUACGGCCGCAAGGCUGAAACUCAAAGGAAUUGGCGGGGGAGCAC